AUUGAACGCUGGCGGCGUGCUUAACACAUGCAAGUCGUGCGGUAACAGGCGUAGCAAUACGUGCUGACGAGCGGCGAACGGGUGCGUAAUACAUGGGAAUCUGCCCUUUAGUGGGGAAUAACCCGGCGAAAGCCGGGCUAAUGCCGCAUAAGAUCUUCGGAUGAAAGCGGGGGAUCGUAAGACCUCGCGCUGAUGGAUGAGCCCAUGUCGGAUUAGCUAGUGGUGAGGUAACGGCUCACCAAGGCGACGAUCCGUAGCUGGUCUGAGAGGACGGCCAGCCACACUGGGACUGAGACACGGCCCAGACUCCUACGGGAGGCAGCAGUGGGGAAUAUUGGACAAUGGGGGAACCCUGAUCCAGCGACGCCGCGUGUGUGAAGAAGGCCUGCGGGUUGUAAAGCACUUUCGGUGGGAA
rnacentral:rRNA from 1 species